rnacentral:rRNA from 1 species
ACAGAGGGGAAACUAGAAUUCCAGGUGUGGGGGUGGAAUCUGUAGAUAUCUGGAAGAAUACCGGUGGCGAAGGCGGGUUUCUAGCUGAUGAUUGACGCUGAUGUGCGAAAGUGCGGGGAGCAAACAGGAUUAAAUACCCUGGUAGUCCGCACCGUAAACUAUGUACACUAGGUGUAGGGGCAUGAGUCUCUGUGCCAAAGCUAACGCAAUAAGUGUACCGCCUGGGAAGUAUGCUCGCAAGGGUGAAACUC